AGAGAGACAAGGAAAUGCUGUCACCGCGGUUAACACGCACGUGGAGGGAAGACCUGGGUUUUAGUCCUGUCUCCAUCAACCUCAAGAAAUGGGACCUCAUGGAAGGGAGGGGAGGCAAUGCCGAGGAUGUGCUCCUGAGCAGGUGCCACAAUUCUUCACCUGUAAGGCUGAUCUAAGAAGAUUCCUAAUUAUCAAUUGAGAGCAGAGAUAUUCCACUUCCAAUUACAUGGCCUGCCUGCUCACUCUUACUUCCUAUUCACACUCUCUUGGAGACCACUUUGUGAUUCUACCAAAUUCUAUAGGAGAGGUGACAACCCCAAAGAGAAGGCUCUAGAAAGAUGACAUUUGGAAAUGUGUACGCUAGUGUCUGCUGGCUCCUCCUGAGCCAUUUUUACUCUGUGAAUGAGAUCAAAGGCCACCUAACUGCCUAAAUCACCACAAAGGGACAAACUGGUAUCUCAGAGCACUCAGCAACAAAAACAAGAAAGCUAAGCCUCUGCACUGCAAUGUGGCAGGGCUUCUGGCUAAGUAUAGCAAGCAAUUCUGAUGUGGAGACAAACAGCAGCAAUGGGAAUGAUAUGCCAAUGAAGGAUUCCAACAGUUGGGUCUGCAAGUGUGCUUGUCCUGUGACACAAACGGCCUAGACAUCUCAGCACUGCUUGGAGCUGCUCAUUGGGGGAGCCUAAGAAACAUCAGCCCUUUCACAACCUCUUGCUCCUGAGCAGAGCUCAUCUCCCAAGAGCACAUCAGCCCGCAGCCCAGUCUGAUGAGAAGCACAGUAUUCCCCUGUGCCAGUGGCAGCCUCAGAGCAUCCUGAAAGAGCGCUUCCUAGACACGCAGUGGAAGCCAUGACUUCCCCUAAGCUGCCGGUGCUGCCUCUGAACUCAUGUGGAGGUUCUUUUUUCAGUGUCCCC
rnacentral:lncRNA from 10 species